UACAGAGGUGGCAAGCGUUGUUCGGAAUUACUGGGCGUAAAGGGCGCGUAGGCGGUCUUGCAAGUCCUGUGUGAAAUCCCUCGGCUCAACUGAGGAACUGCACAGGAAACUGCUUGGCUUGAGUUCGGGAGAGGGAAGUGGAAUUCCACGUGUAGCGGUGAAAUGCGUAGAGAUGUGGAGGAACACCAGUGGCGAAGGCGACUUUCUGGUCUAUAACUGACACUGAGGCGCGAAAGCGUGGGGAGCAAACAGG
rnacentral:rRNA from 1 species